CUUUGCCAAAAGUGAUGGUUCAUUGUCUUCACGAUCAAAACAAAGUUUCAGAGAUCCCGGAGACGUAUCGCCGUGAAUGGUUCUUAUCCUCUUAUCCUCCAAAAUGAUGUUUUGAUUCAUUGUACGAAACAUCUUAACUCCAUCAAUUCACAUUUGUCCCGAUUUCACAUUCAAUUACUUAUCCCUCUUAUAGGUUGCGGUGUAUCUCCACCUAUAAAAAGGGUUCAUGUCUACUGCAAGCUCUGAGACGAGUCUUCAUGAGCAAUCUCUGCGUCAGUUUAGGGCCGUUUCUCAUUUGGAAUCCCUCUCCUUCCCUCAUAUAUAUCUUCAGUUUGAAUUUAAUCAGCGAAAUAUAUUGGUGUUCUCCCAACGACCAUUGGUUUACACACGACGGUGAAUGUCUCCGCCGACCAUUUCCAGAGAAUCACUUGGGUACAGCCGGCUAUCACCAUGCUGCCGAUUUCAUUGAAGACUUCAUUGACAUCAUCAUAUUAGGUGGCGCCGGCAACACUGCGUUCUGUGCCGCCGGUUAUACUCUUUUCACUUUGGCUACCAGAUUGCAUGCUCAGUUAUACUACCAAUCUAAGAUCCACAAGAUCAUCGGAAUUUCUUGAGUCUGCAGUCACUUGGGUACGUCAGGUUUUAAUUUGUUCAUCUUAUAGAAGUCGAAAGAAUAGAGGCACAUUCUUUUUUGUUUCGCAUAUAUUUCUUCAAUUAUAUUGUUCAGUGAUCCUUUUUCAAGCUACUUAGAAACUCGCAACUUUGGAUCGAGAAAGAUGAAGAUGAUGACGACGAAAUUUGAUCCACUCUAAAUUCGAGCAAGUUCUUUCCUUUCACGAGUUUUUUUUUGGGUUUCCUCUCAAACAUAUAUGCUAAUUAACUUUAACCAAACUUUUGUUUCCUUUCAGAGUGGACCAGCAGAGGAGCGGAUCGAAUCAGCAAAAGCUUGAGAAUUUUAACCCAGAAGGAAAAGCAGCUGACUUUAGAGAAGUUCUUACUCAUGCUUCAGAAAGUUAUUCGAAUAGGGAAAUCACAAGCGUGUCAUCUCAUGGAGAAAUAGUUCCACUUAGUCUGCAGAUGUUCGGUUGUAAAGUGUUACAAAAGGCUCUUGAUGUCAUAGAACCUGAUCAGAGAGUUCGUUUACCACAUGAACUUGACGGGCAGUCGGGCAGUUCAUGAGAUGUGUUCAGACACCAAAACACAAGCAAGGAGCUCUUGAAAUGCAUCGAUAAUACUUCUUCAGACUGUUGGAUCCAUAUUACCUGCAUUCCUUGGUCUCUAUGCAUCUUAUGGCUGCCGAGCAAUCAUGAACUAAGAAUUAAAAUAAAUGUUUGUUUUCUGCCUUCGCCCAUCUUGGUUUCUCUCAUUAUACACAAUAGCAAUGCAUCUUCACGUUUUCUUUGCUCUUACGUAUUGAGAAACCAUAUCUUUUUAUUAUUACUGAAUGUCCCUGUAAAUCUAGGUUGUUACCUAAGGCUAUGUGUAUGUGGGAUGACGUUGGAGUCAGGCAGAUUGGGAUUGUUCAAGAAAAGAGAAUUUGUUUAUAGACUUCACAUAUCUAACGUGUCUCUUUGUUUCAGGGGGAGUGUUUAUUUUUAGCAGUGUUUGUUGCCCUUAUGUAGAAUCAUAUGAGCUUAGUAAGAUGGAGGUAGAAACAUCAGUGAUUUUAAUUAUCACUAAUAUUUCUAAUAUAUUAUUGUUAUAAGUAAAAGUAAUUCCUUUGA